ACAUCAUCGCUCAUCUUUCCAUUGCCGGUUCCCUGACUAGAAUGAAUGUUCUGCCACUGUGGAAAGGAAUGAGGAAGCUGACUCUGCACUGAUAGACAAUGAUUUCCGGGUUUUGUCGUCAUGUGGAAACAAAGCAAAGUACAAGAAUCUACAGCAUGCCAUAUUUUGUGUAAGAAAGAAGAAGAAAUAAGAAAAUGUUUGGGCUGGGUGUGGUGGCUCACACCUGUAAUCCCAGAAUUUUGGGAGGCAGAAGCGGGCAGAUCACCUGAGGUGAGAAGUUCGAGACAAGCCUGGCCAACGUGGCAAAGCCCCAUCUCUA
rnacentral:lncRNA from 1 species